GCAUGGUCUAGUGGCUAGGAUACCUGGCUCUCACCCAGGAGGCCCGGGUUCGAUUCCCGGUGGAAGCA
rnacentral:tRNA from 1 species